rnacentral:lncRNA from 1 species
AAACCCCGCUCACGCCGCCCUCUCUCCUUCCCGGCAGAGUUAUAUCCACACAGACGUCUUCCCAUCUUUGCUGCUGGAGCUGCCUUUCUCCAGCGAGGCCUUGGGUUUAGCACCUUGUUUCUCCUGGGCGGUGUUGGCCCUGUUCUGCUCCACCACGGUGCCCGCCGAGGCGGGGCUGCUGGUCCGAGAGGGCUGCGUGUUGGCCUGGGUGCUGCUGUAGCUCUGGAAGGCAAUGUCCAGCUGCUCCUGGGCCACCCGCAGGUGCUUGUGCAGCGUGGACAGAUCCGCCGGCAGGUUCUCGUCCGGGCUGGUGCACUGCUGCUCCUGAGCCACGUUGGCCAAGUUCUGCUCGUGGGCCAUCAGGCUGUUGGGGAUCUUGGUGGAUUUCUCGGAUUUGACGACCAGGUUGUACUCGGGAGGGCAGGAGAUGUUCUUGGGGUAGGCGUAGUUGUAGGGGGGCUGCCGGAAGCUGUUGAUCUUGCGGUUGCGGAUGGCGUCGCGGAUGGUCCCGAAUCCCAGGUGGAACAUCUCGCACAUGUUGAGCAGCAGGCACAGGCAGCUCACCACGUACAUCACCAGCAGGAAGAUGGUCUUCUCCGUGGGCCGCGACACGAAGCAAUCCACGGUGUGGGGACAAGGGACCCUGUUGCACACGUAAUACGCUUCCACCUCGAACCCGUAGAGCAAAUACUGCCCUAUCAAAAAGCACACCUCGAAGGAAGCCCGGGUGAGCAGCUGGAAGACGUAGAUUUUCAUCAGUCCCUCCUGCUGGAUGCGCCUCCUCCCGUCAUGCUUCUGCUGCUCCUUGGGCUUGGCCUUGGCCUUGUCGUGCUCGGCCGCGUCGUCCGAGAUCAUGGGCUCCUCCUCGUCGGCCUCCAUGGCGUCCUCCAUGUUGCGCACGGCCUGCCAGUUCAGGGCGAACUGCUUCUUCUUCUUGAAGCCCUUGAACUUCUUCUCCUCCUCGGCCGAGCGGGCGAUCCUGUGGAUGGCGUAGCCCAGGUACAUGACGGAGGGCGUGGAGAUCAUGAUGAUCUGGAAGACCCAGAAGCGGACGUGCGAGAGCGGCGCGAAGGCGUCGUAGCAGACGUUGUCGCAGCCCGGCUGCUUGGUGUUGCAGGUGAACUUGCUCUGCUCAUCGGAGUAGAUGGACUCGCCCCCCACCGCCGUCAGGACGAUGCGGAACACGAUGAGCACGGUGAGCCAGACCUUCCCCACGAAGGUGGAGUGAUUGUGAAUCUCUUCUAG